rnacentral:rRNA from 1 species
CUCUCGGGUUACCGAAUUCAGACAAACUCCGAAUGCCAAUUAAUUUAACUUGGGAGUCAGAACAUGGGUGAUAAGGUCCGUGUUCGAAAGGGAAACAGCCCAGACCACCAGCUAAGGUCCCAAAAUAUAUGUUAAGUGGAAAAGGAUGUGGCGUUGCCCAGACAACUAGGAUGUUGGCUUAGAAGCAGCCAUCAUUUAAAGAGUGCGUAAUAGCUCACUAGUCGAGUGACACUGCGCCGAAAAUGUACCGGGGCUAAACAUAUUACCGAAGCUGUGGAUUGUCCUUUGGACAAUGGUAGGAGAGCGUUCUAAGGGCGUCGAAGCAUGAUCGCAAGGACAUGUGGAGCGCUUAGAAGUGAGAAUGCCGGUGUGAGUAGCGAAAGACGGGUGAGAAUCCCGUCCACCGAUUGACUAAGGUUUCCAGAGGAAGGCUCGUCCGCUCUGGGUUAGUCGGGUCCUAAGCUGAGGCCGACAGGCGUAGGCGAUGGAUAACAGGUUGAUAUUCCUGUACCACCUAGUAUCGUUUUAAUCGAUGGGGGGACGCAGUAGGAUAGGCGAAGCGUGCUGUUGGAGUGCACGUCCAAGCAGUAAGGCUGAGUGUUAGGCAAAUCCGGCACUCAUAAGGCUGAG